AUUGAACGCUGGCGGCAGGCUUAACACAUGCAAGUCGAGCGGAGUGAUGGUGCUUGCACUAUCACUUAGCGGCGGACGGGUGAGUAAUGCUUAGGAAUCUGCCUAUUAGUGGGGGACAACAUCUCGAAAGGGAUGCUAAUACCGCAUACGUCCUACGGGAGAAAGCAGGGGAUCACUUGUGACCUUGCGCUAAUAGAUGAGCCUAAGUCGGAUUAGCUAGUUGGUGGGGUAAAGGCCUACCAAGGCGACGAUCCGUAGCGGGUCUGAGAGGGUGAUCAGCCACACUGGGACUGGGACACGGCCCAGACUCCUCCGGGGGGCAGCAGUGGGGAAUAUUGGACAAUGGGGGGAACCCUGAUCCAGCCAUGCCGCGUGUGUGAAGAAGGCCUUAUGGUUGUAAAGCACUUUAAGCGAGGAGGAGGCUCUUUUGGUUAAUACCCAAGAUGAGUGGACGUUACUCGCAGAAUAAGCACCGGCUAACUCUGUGCCAGCCGCCGCCGUAA
rnacentral:rRNA from 1 species